UGAACGCUAGCGGUAUGCUUAACACAUGCAAGUCGUACGGGAGUUUUUAACUCAAGUGGCGGACGGGUGAGUAACACGUGAGAAUUUACCUUUAGGAGGGAGAUAACAAUUGGAAACGAUUGCUAAUACCCCAUAUGCUUUUUUAAGUGAAACGGAUUUAUUCGCCUAAAGAAAAGCUCGCGGCUGAUUAGCUAGUUGGUAAGGUAAUGGCCUACCAAGGCGACGAUCAGUAGCUGGUUUGAGAGGAUGAUCAGCCACACUGGGACUGAGACACGGCCCAGACUCCUACGGGAGGCAGCAGUAGGGAAUUUUCCGCAAUGGGCGAAAGCCUGACGGAGCAAUACCGCGUGAGGGAUGACGGCCUGUGGGUUGUAAACCUCUUUUCUCAAGGAAGAAGUUCUGACGGUACUUGAGGAAUAAGCAUCGGCUAACUCUGUGCCAGCAG
rnacentral:rRNA from 1 species